AAAACAGAGAAUUUUUCCAAAUGAGAAAAAACAAGUAUGGAAGAGAGGACUUGGUGAGUACCAAGUGGAAACCUGGCACAAUCCAACAUUCAUUUCAGGAGGAUGGUUCCAGCUGUGGUGUCUUUGUGAUGCUGAUGGCGAAACCGGUGGUGGAAGAGUUCCCAAAAAUUCCUGACAGCAUUAAUAUAAGGAGAUGAUGUGCCACUACAGGAAAAAUGUGGCCAAUGAAAUUUUGCUGGCAUCAGUGUGAAGAGAGGAGUACUGCUCUGUGUGUGGAGAAAAAGAAAGAGCCCAAACAGAGGAGCAAUGCAUCUGGAUUCAAUGUGAAUUAUGCCAGAGGUAGUUUCAUGUUCAGUGCCUCAAC